GGGGUCGUGGUGUAACGGCAGCACAGCAGGCUUUUAACCUGCACAGUGGGGGUUCGAAUCCCUCCGGCCUCA
rnacentral:tRNA from 1 species